GGGUGCGUAGUAUACUGGCAGAAUGGUCGGCUCCAACCCGACAGAAAAGGGUUCGAUUCCCUUCGCGCCCA
rnacentral:tRNA from 1 species